GCCUGGGUGGCUCAGUGGUUGAGCAUCUGCCUUCAGCUCAGGGCAUGUUCCCAGGGUCCUGGGAUCAAGUCCCACAUCAGGCU
rnacentral:tRNA from 1 species